rnacentral:lncRNA from 1 species
CAAACUCGGAGAUCAGCCCUCCACUGCUAGGAUUAAAGGCGUGGUCCACUUCUCCGGGCGGAUUCCCUGCACAAGCCUCUAAAUUGAGAGCAGCGGGCAGCUGGCUACUAGGCAGCGCCAGUGCCGACAAGCCCGAGGCUAGAAGCCGCUGGAGUGGCCUGGGACUGAGCGCCCCAGGCCGCCCAGCUGACUCCUGCAGCUGUCGCAAAGCUGUCCCCACCAGCGGCCACCCAACUCAGGGCGGAACUCUCUACGCCCAAGAGGAUCGGCAGGCGGCGCUGCUACUCCAGUUGAGCGCAAGGAUCCCUGCUACCGGAGCGCAGAUUGGGGCAACCAGGGCGCAGAUUGGGGCAACCAGGGCGCAGAUUGGGGCAACGGCCGGCCCAGGUGGCGCUCAGGACCGACCAGCAACACCCCGCCCCUGCAGCUGCUUCUUGGCUUGGUGAUCAAGUGCACCAGACUGGGGUCAGUCCUAGGGGAUGUUUCUUGGCACGAGCCUUCAUCCAGCAGCUGGUGGAAGUAGAAGCAGACACCCACAGCUAAACCUUGAACUGAACUGAAAUCCAGAUGCAGAGAAGGAGGACUGAUGAGCAAAAGGAUCCAUACCAGGCAGGUGAAAACCACAGAAACAGCUGACCUGAACAACAGGGAGCUCUUGGCCCCUAGACUGAUAGCUGGGAAACCAGCAUGGGACUGAUCCAGACCCCCUGAAUGUGGGUGUCAAUGAGGAGACCUUGGAAAUCUACGGGGCCACUUGUAGUGGAUCAGUACUUAUCACUACCAUAGGAAUGGACUUUAGGAACUCAUCCCACAUGGAGGGAUACUCCCUGAGCCUAGACACAAGGGGGUUGGCCUAGGCCCUAUCCCAUAGAAUAUGACAGACUUUGAAGACCUCCCCCCAUGGAAGGCCUCACCCUUCCUGGAGAGCAGAAAGGGUAUGGGAUGGGUAGGGCGUUAGUUGGGGGGGGGGAGGG